rnacentral:rRNA from 1 species
UACGAAGGGGGGCUAGCGUUGCUCGGAUUUUACUGGGCGUAAAGGGCGCGUAGGCGGACAGUUAAGUUGGGGGUGAAAGCCCGGGGCUCAACCUCGGAAUUGCCUUCAAUACUGGCUGUCUUGAGUGUGAGAGAGGUGUGUGGAACUCCGAGUGUAGAGGUGAAAUUCGUAGAUAUUCGGAAGAACACCAGUGGCGAAGGCGACACACUGGCUCACUAC